AUUGAACGCUGGCGGCAGGCCUAACACAUGCAAGUCGAGCGGAUGAAGGGAGCUUGCUCCUGGAUUCAGCGGCGGACGGGUGAGUAAUGCCUAGGAAUCUGCCUGGUAGUGGGGGAUAACGUCCGGAAACGGGCGCUAAUACCGCAUACGUCCUGAGGGAGAAAGUGGGGGAUCUUCAGACCUCACGCUAUCAGAUGAGCCUAGGUCGGAUUAGCUAGUUGGUGGGGUAAAGGCCUACCAAGGCGACGAUCCGUAACUGGUCUGAGAGGAUGAUCAGUCACACUGGAACUGAGACACGGUCCAGCCUCCUACGGGAGGCAGCAGUGGGGAAUAUUGGACAAUGGGCGAAAGCCUGAUCCAGCCAUGCCGCGUGUGUGAAGAAGGUCUUCGGAUUGUAAAGCACUUUAAGUUGGGAGGAAGGGCAGUAAGUUAAUACCUUGCUGUUUUGACGUUACCAACAGAAUAAGCACCGGCUAACUUCGU
rnacentral:rRNA from 1 species